GGGUGCCGCGGAGAUCGCCGCGGCAGGUUUUCGCGCAGGUCGGGCCGCCGCG
rnacentral:ncRNA from 3 species